CCUACGGGAGGCAGCAGUGGGGAAUUGUUCGCAAUGGGCGCAAGCCUGAUCCAGCCACGCCGCGUGAGUGAUGAAGGCCUUCGGGUCGUAAAGCUCUGUGGGGAGGGACGAACCGCCGCUGGUUAAUAGCCAGCGGCAUGACGGUACCUCCUUAGCAAGCACCGGCUAACUUCGUGCCAGCAGCCGCGGUAAU
rnacentral:rRNA from 1 species